rnacentral:rRNA from 1 species
UUUAAAUUGAGAGUUUGAUCCUGGCUCAGGAUGAACGCUGGUGGCGUGCCUAAUACAUGCAAGUCGUACGCUAGCCGCUGAAUUGAUCCUUCGGGUGAAGUGAGGCAAUGACUAGAGUGGCGAACUGGUGAGUAACACGUAAGAAACCUGCCCUUUAGUGGGGGAUAACAUUUGGAAACAGAUGCUAAUACCGCGUAACAACAAAUCACACAUGUGAUCUGUUUGAAAGGUCCUUUUGGAU